UACGGAGGGUGCAAGCGUUAUCCGGAUUCACUGGGCGUAAAGGGUGCGCAGGCGGUUGGGUGUGUCAGAUGUGAAAUCCCGAGGCUUAACCUCGGAACUGCGUCUGAAAACUACUCGACUAGAGUACUGGAGAGGGAAACGGAAUUCACGGUGUAGCAGUGAAAUGCGUAGAUAUCGUGAGGAACACCAGAGGCGAAGGCGGUUUCCUGGACAGUUACUGACGCUCAGGCACGAAAGCAUGGGGAGCAAAAGGG
rnacentral:rRNA from 1 species